rnacentral:lncRNA from 1 species
GCAGGAGGAGGAGGCGGCAGCAGCCAGAGAAGAGGGAGGCGUGUGAACCACGCUCCGCCAGCAAGCUUCUUCCCGCUGCUCUGGCACUACCCAGGUUCUCUCCGCCAGUAUGGCCCUGAUCGUCCACCUCAAGACUGUUUCUGAGCUUCGAGGCAGAGCUGAUCGGAUCGCCAAAGUCACUUUCCGAGGACAGUCCUUCUAUUCCCGGGUCCUGGAGAACUGCGAGGAUGUGGCUGACUUCGAUGAGACAUUCCGGUGGCCAGUGGCUAGCAGCAUCGACAGGAAUGAAGUGUUGGAGAUUCAGAUUUUCAACUACAGCAAAGUCUUCAGCAACAAACUAAUCGGGACCUUCCGCAUGGUGCUGCAGAAGGUGGUGGAGGAGAAU